CCUACGGGUGGCAGCAGUAGGGAAUCUUUCUCAAUGGGGGAAACCCUGAUGCUGCAACGCCGCGUGGAGGAUGAAGGUUUUCGGAUUGUAAACCCCUUUUGUUAGAGGAGAUAAUGACGGUAACUAACGCAUAAGCACCAGCUAACUCCGUGCCAGCAGCCGCGGUAAUACGGAGGGUGCAAGCGUUACUCGGAAUCACUGGGCGUAAAGAGCGCGUAGGCGGGAUAGUAAGUCAGAUGUGAAAUGCUAUGGCUUAACCAUAGAACUGCAUUUGAAACUGUUAUUCUAGAGUAUGGGAGAGGUAGGUGGAAUUCUUGGUGUAGCGGUAAAAUGCGUAGAGAUCAAGAGGAAUACUCAUGGCGAAGGCGGGCUGCUAGAACAUAACUGACGCUGAUGCGCGAAAGCGUGGGGAGCAAACAGGAUUAGAUACCCGGGUAGUC
rnacentral:rRNA from 1 species